ACAUGGAUAGCUCAGUUGGUAGAGCAUGCGACUCUUAACCUUGGCAUCGUGGGUUUGAGCCCCACGUCGGGCA